CACGCCUCACAGUCAGCGGGGCCGCCGACGUCACUGUCGCCCUCCCGCCGCGCUUUCUCGCUUUCCUCCCCGCCCAGCUCCAAGGCCAAGGGGGGAGGAGGGCGGGAGCAACAGCCGGCCGGGAGCGCUGAAAACUCGAUGCCGUUCGCGGUUGUUCAUUUCUCGCUUUUCCCCAGGCAAGAGUGAAGUGGAAGGACCGGAAAGGCGUGCUCUUCAGGCGUGCAUGUAGAAGACUCGGCUUUCGAGAAGGCAGGCCCACUAGGGUCUCCUCCAUCCAGAAGGCGCUGCCUUUUAGGGCGCCUGCAUCUCCUGCGCGCAUGUAUGCCGAAUAAACUCGUUAGCCCUUAAGGAAUCACGACCUUCCGCUUUGAAUUUGGUUUGGGGUUAUUCCAUGCGGUGACAGAGUACUGAUGUGAAGUCUCAGGGAGCUGGCUGACGCAGUGCCUGCUAACUCUCACGGGAGUUGAACGUGCACAGAAAGCAGCUAUUGUGUACAUUUACUGAACAUUGUGGAGGAACAUGCACAUAUUGGGAGUAUGAACACAGGGCUUGUUAAUAUGCCUAACCAAUCUCCGGGACUUGUGGGACAAUGACCGACAAGAUCAAUGAGAACUAGCAAGAAGGAGCCUUUAACCCUCGGAAGACUUCCAUCUUUCAAGGAAGUUGUAGAAAAAAUGAAUAAUAAUGUACGUUUUGAGUUACCUAGAUAUGAAACCUGUUUUUUUUUGUUCUGUGUUUCCCUGUGCCAAUCCCCCCUCAUCUCAGAAUAAACUUUUUCAAAUUGAAAACAA